CCCAUGACUCUGGGAUAAGCCUGGGCAAACUGGGUCUAAUACCGGAUANNACCUUCCAUCGCAUGGUGGUUGGUGGAAAGCUUUUGUGGUUUUGGAUGGACUCGCGGCCUAUCAGCUUGUUGGUGGGGUAAUGGCCUACCAAGGCGACGACGGGUAGCCGGCCUGAGAGGGUGACCGGCCACACUGGGACUGAGACACGGCCCAGACUCCUACGGGAGGCAGCAGUGGGGAAUAUUGCACAAUGGGCGCAAGCCUGAUGCAGCGACCCCGCGUGAGGGAUGACGGCCUUCGGGUUGAAAACCUCUUUCAGUAGGGAAGAAGCGAGAGUGACGGUACCUGCAGAAGAAGCGCCGGCUAACUACGUGCCAGCAGCCGCGGUAAUACGUAGGGCGCAAGCGUUAUCCGGAAUUAUUGGGCGUAAAGAGCUCGUAGGCGGUUUGUCGCGUCUGCCGUGAAAGUCCGGGGCUCAACUCCGGAUCUGCGGUGGGUACGGGCACACUAGAGUGAUGUAGGGGAGACUGGAAUUCCUGGUGUAGCGGUGAAAUGCGCAGAUAUCAAGAGGAACACCGAUGGCGAAGGCAGGUCUCUGGGCAUUAACUGACGCUGAAGAGCGAAAGCAUGGGGAGCGAACAGGAUUAUAUACCCUGGUAGUCCAUGCCGUAAACGUUGGCCACUACGUGUGGGGGACAUUCCACGUUUUCCGCGCCGUAGCUAACGCAUUAAGUGCCCCGCCUGNNNAGUACCGCCGCAAGGCUAAACUCAACGAAUUGACGGGGUCNGCCCAGACG
rnacentral:rRNA from 1 species